rnacentral:rRNA from 1 species
AACGAACGCUGGCGGCGUGCCUAACACAUGCAAGUCGAACGAGAAAGGGGCUUCUGCUCCGAGUAAAGUGGCGCACGGGUGGGUAACACGUGGGUAACCUGCCUCUAAGAUUGGGAUAACUCGUCGAAAGAUGAGCUAAUACCGAAUAAGACCACAGUUCCCGCGGGAACAGGGGUCAAAGGUAGCCUCUGCUUGCAAGCUAUCACUUAGAGAUGGGCCUGCGCACCAUUAGCUAGUUGGUAGGGUAACGGCCUACCAAGGCAAAGAGGGUUAGCUGGUCUGAGAGGAUGAUCAGCCACACUUGAACUGAGACACGGUCCAGACUCCUUAGGGGGGGAGCAGGGGGGAAUAUUGCGCAAUGGGCGAAAGCUUGACGCAGCAACGCCGCGGGAGGUGUGGAGGCUUUCGGGUCGUAAAGGUCUGUCGGGAGGAACGAAUGCUCCUGAGGUUAACAGCCUCGGGAGGUGACGGUACCUUCAAAGGAAGCACCGGCUAACUCUGUG